AGAUUUUGAUUCUGGCUCAGAACGAACGCUGGCAGCGUGGAUUAGGCAUGCAAGUCGAACGUGAAUCCGGUGAUCAAUCUUUCGGGAGAGUGAACCGGUGGAAAGUGGCGGAAGGGUGAGUAACGCGUGGGCAAUCUGCCUCCGAGUUGGGGAUAACCAUUCGAAAGGAUGGCUAAUACCGAAUACGGUGGUGUUGCUUCGGUGACAUUGACUAAAGGUGGGGCUCCUUCGGGACCUGCCGCUGGGAGAGGAACCCGCGUCCGAUCAGCUUGUUGGUGGGGUAACGGCCUACCAAGGCUACGACCGGUAGCUGGUCUGAGAGGAUGGUCAGCCACACUGGGACUGAGACACUGCCCAGACUCCUACGGGAGGCUGCAGUCGAGGAUCAUUGGCAAUGCGCGAAAGCGUGACCAUGCGACGCUGCGUGGGGGAUGAAGGCCUUCGGGUUGUAAACCCCUGUCAUUGGGGACAAAUCACUCGGCCGUGAAUAUCGGUUGAGUUUGAUGGUACCUGAAGAGGAAGCCACGGCUAACUCUGUGCCAGCAGCCGCGGUAAUACAGAGGUGGCGAGCGUUGUUCGGAUUUACUGGGCGUAAAGGGUGCGUAGGUGCUGCGUGUGUCGGAUGUGAAAUCCCGUUGCUUAACGGCGGAACUGCAUUCGAAACUGCGUGGCUUGAGUGCAGGAGGGGAGAGCGGAAUUCUCGGUGUAGCGGUGAUAUGUGUUGAUAUCGAGAAGAACACCGGUGGCGAAGGCGGCUCUCUGGAAUGUUACUGACACUGAGGCACGAAAGCUGGGGGAGCAAACAGGAUUAGAUACCCUGGUAGUCCCAGCCGUAAACGGUGCGCACUUGGUGUUGGCGGUAUUGAUCCCGCCAGUGCCGGAGCUAACGCGUUAAGUGCGCCGCCUGGGGAGUACGGCCGCAAGGUUAAAACUCAAAGAAAUUGACGGGGGCCCGCACAAGCGGAGGAGCAUGUGGCUUAAUUCGAUGCAACGCGAAGAACCUUACCAGGGCUUGACAUGCAGCUGCACGCCCCGGGAAACCGGGGUUCCUUCGAGGGUGCUGCACAGGUGCUGCAUGGCUGUCGUCAGUUCGUGCCGUGAGGUGUUGGGUUAAGUCCCGCAACGAACGCAACCCCUGUGGUUAGUUGCCACCGUCGGUGAUGAGCCGGCGAGCACUCUAGCCAGACUGCCCGUACAAGCGGGAGGAAGGUGGGGACGACGUCAAGUCAGUAUGGCCCUUACGCCCUGGGCUGCACACGUGCUACAAUGGUCGGUACAAAGGGAAGCAAGACCGUGAGGUGGAGCAAAUCCCCAAAGCCGGCCCCAGUUCGGAUUGGAGUCUGCAACUCGACUCCAUGAAGUCGGAUUCGCUAGUAACGGCGCAUCAGCUACGGCGCCGUGAAUACGUUCCCGGGCCUUGUACACACCGCCCGUCACAUCAUGAAAGCCGUCUGCACCCGAAGUCGCCGGGCCAACCCGCAAGGGAGGCAGGCGCCGAAGGUGUGGGUGGUGAUCG
rnacentral:rRNA from 1 species